GCUGUGAGGGGAGGAGCCGAUAGGCAAACGGCCGGAGCUCGUGCGGGAAGAAAGGAAGGUGGAGGAGGAGAAGGCCGGCGCUGGGUGGGAGCUUAGGACUGUGGAAAAGGCGGCGCCGAGGCCACGCUGGGGUGGAGCCGCCUCUUUAGCCCGAGCGGGCUGGGAUGCCGAAAGGAGCUACUUGUUUUUCUUUUUCCCGCCGCAACCGGGCCGCGGCGAGAGGCUGCUUUCCCCCCUCAGGGAGCUGCUACGUUGGCAACCCCGCUAGCGCCGUAUCCUAGUCCCGGGCGCUCGGAACGGCGGCGGCCUCCUCCUCCCCCCCCCUCCCCGCGUCGCUUAGCUCUUCCCAGGGGCGCGUUUUGCCGGUGCCGCGGAGCCGCGCGGGUCCCAUGCUGCGCGGGGAGAGGCUCUGCUGCGCCGCUCUGCCGCCUGCUGCUUUGCCCUGCUGAGGAGGCGCUGCGCGGAGAGCAGAAAGAAGACCGGGGCUCGGCUUGCGGGUGGUGCUUAGCGAAGAGGGAUUUGCAAGGAGGAGUGGUGCCGCCGCCGCCGCCGCCGCCGCCGCCAUGGGGCUGCAGCCCUUGGAGUUCAGCGACUGCUACCUGGACAGCCCCUGGUUCCGCGAGAGGAUCCGAGCCCACGAAGCCGAGCUGGAGAAAACUAACAAGUUCAUCAAGGAGCUGCUCAAGGAUGGCAAAAGCCUCAUCGCCGCCACCAAGAAUCUCUCAGCUGCCCAAAGAAAGUUUGCCCAUUCACUGAGAGACUUUAAAUUUGAGUUUAUUGGUGAUGCAGAAACAGAUGAUGAACGAUGUAUAGAUGCAUCCCUCCAUGAAUUCUCUAACUUUCUGAAAAAUCUAGAAGAACAAAGAGAAAUACUGGCCCUUAGUGUUACUGAAACUCUUAUCAAACCUCUGGAAAGAUUCAGAAAAGAGCAACUUGGAGCUGUAAAGGAAGAAAAGAAGAAAUUUGAUAAAGAAACAGAAAAGAACUACAGUUUAUUAGACAAGCAUUUAAAUAUGUCAGCUAAGAAAAAAGAAACUCAGUUAUUGGAGGCAGACUACCAGGUGGAGGUAAACAGAAAACAUUUUUAUGAACUAUCACUUGAAUAUGUGUGUAAGCUACAAGAGAUACAAGAACGAAAGAAAUUUGAAUUUGUAGAACCUGUCCUGUCAUUUUUUCAGGGAAUGUUCACCUUCUACCAUCAGGGUUAUGAGCUUGCCAAAGAUUUUAAUCACUACAAAAUGGCUUUGCAGAUCAAUAUCCAGAAUACAAGAAAUCGUUUUGAAGGGACAAGAUCAGAAGUCGAAGAUCUCAUGAACAAAAUCAAGCGAAAUCCCCUGGAGCAUAAAAGAGCAAACCAAUUUGCAAAGGAAGGCUACCUUUAUGUGCAGGAGAAAAGACCUGCACCAUUUGGGUCCAGCUGGGUAAAACAUUACUGCAUGUACAAGAAGGACACUAAGAAGUUUACAAUGAUACCAUUUGAGCACAGGUCAGGAGGAAAGAUUGGUGAGCUGGAAGUCCUUCUCCUUAAGUACUGCACCAAAAGAAAUACUGAUACUAUAGAUAGGCGGUUCUGUUUUGACAUGGAAGCACUAGAUCGACCUGGUAUGCCUGUUACCAUGCAAGCAUUCUCAGAAGAGGACAGAAACCAGUGGUUCGAAGCCUUAGAUGGAAAAGAAGCUGUGUUUCUCAAUUUGAACAGGGCUAACAUAAAAAGAGAAGGAAGUGCGCAGUUGGAUAAGCUUGGGUUCACAAUUCUGAGAAGAUGCAUAAGUGCUGUUGAAACAAGAGGUAUAAAUGACCAAGGACUGUACAGAGUUGUGGGGGUGAGUUCAAGGGUCCAGAGACUUCUGAAUUUGUUGAUGGAUGCAAAGACAAGUAAUGAAGUUGACUUGGAAAAUUCCAUGGAAUGGGAAGUUAAGACAAUAACAAGUGCAAUGAAACUAUACUUAAGAAGCCUUCCAGAGCCCCUGAUGACGUAUGAUUUACAUGGAGAGUUCAUCGUUCCUGCCAAAUGUGGCACCCCCGAGUCCCGUGUUAACGCUAUCCAUUUCUUGGUUCAUAAACUUCCAGACAAGAACAAAGAAAUGCUCGAUAUUUUGGUGAAACACUUAGCAAACGUUUCAAAGCAUGCCAAGAAGAAUCUCAUGACUGUAGCAAAUUUAGGAGUAGUUUUUGGACCAACAUUAAUGCGACCACAGGAAGAAACUGUGGCUGCCCUCAUGGACCUGAAAUUUCAGAAUAUUGUAGUGGAGAUCCUAAUUGAAAACCACGAUAAGAUUUUUCAAACUCUGCCUGAUGCCACUUUCCCUGAGCCAAUUCCUGUGUCGGUAUCUCCUCCAAAUGCCCCACCACGACAAUCAAGAAGACAAGGGCAACGUAAUAAGAGGCCCAUUGCUGUAUAUAAUCUCUGUCUUGAGCUGGAUGACAGUGACAGUCUUAGCCCUCCAAAAGAAUGCACCCCCACUGGUAGCAUGGAUUCCUUGUCUUCUCAGUCUCCUACGACUGCUGCCCCCAGCAGCCCUCCAGAGGCAGAGAAAAAUCAACUUGUAGCUGACAGUGGUGACAUAGCAGACGGGACAACCAGUCUCUCCAGUGACAUUCAUUCAUCAAUGGUCUCCUGGAUGAAAGCACAGACAUGUACAGCAUCUACCACGGACACACCAGCAUUGUCAACGUUCUCUUUUCCUUCCCCUGUAAGAGAGACUGACAGACCAUCUGGAAGAAAAGCAAGAGCAGUGUAUCCAUGUGAAGCGGAGCAUAGCUCUGAAUUAUCUUUUCAAAUUGGGGCAGUUUUUGAAGAUGGUAAGUAUUAUAGCUUUCAGGGCCAACUACAAUCAAAUCUGUUGAACUCUUAGUAUGGCUUGUAAAGUAAUGGUUUUAACAUAUCUCCUGAGAUAUGAGGGGAGGUACCUGUGGCCUCUUUAAAAAAUGGUGUUUUAAGGAAGGGUACUGCCAAAUCCAGGGCUGAGGUAGAUUCUAGCAAAACCCGUCACUAUUUGUGGUGCGGCAGCAGGAGACAGCAGUGAGGCAGUACUGACAGCGGCAGAAAUAUCCAUUUGGUGUUCAUUCCAACUUCAGUGUCUAAAGGCCUGAGCCUCAGGAGUUCAAAGAUAAAAACUACACAGAGAAAUUCUUCAUAUACAGUAGCAACAAGGAGCUGUGAACUGGCUCCUUGUUCAUUUAUUUCUGCUCUUCAGCUGCUGGUUGAAAGCUGCAUGCUUUACAAGAGAACUCAGCUUUAACAGACAGCAGAAUCUUCACUGAUAAGUUAUGACCCAGAACACCUCUGUUCAAAGCCAUUGCAUAAAUGCCUUCUACACCCUUGCCCUCUCAUAGAGAAAAAUACCAAUUCAUUCUUUAUUAAUAGCUGCCCUCCAAGUCCUGAGAAAUGAGAAGGCAAACCAUUCCUAGGUUGUUUUGUCUGUAUCUUUCAUUUGUUUAUUUAAAAUAUUAAUUACCUUCUCUUCAUUACCAUAGAGGUAAUCCAAAAGAGGGUUAUAAGCUUUAAUAAGAGACAGUGCAAAAAAAAAAACCCAGCUGAAAAGGAAUAUCAGUCCAUUUAAACCUCUAAGGUAAUUUCUUUAACACUAGAACAAUAGGCUCCAGACUAGUGUCUUGCAUAUGCCCAGGUAGAAAGGUGUAUGUUCAACUAGUGCCUAAAAUGCGUGUGGGUUGGUGCUAGCUGGGUUUCAAAAGGGAAAGUGUUUAGUAACUAUCUGAGUCUUGCUCUGUCCCCGUAUCCAAUAGGAAUAUAGUUGGCGUCGUCCUCAGCUAGCAUGGAUCCUCAGUAAGAGGGCAAAUCAAAAGAGAUGACCAAUUUCCCUCCACUCAUAUUUUGAAAGAAAGCAUUGAGCUUUCCAUGUUUCCAUUUUAGAUCCAUGGGAUCCAAUCAAAUGUGCUGUUGAAAAAAAACUUUUUUUAUUUUUUAAAAAAUCAUUUUUUAAAGAAGUCAUCUAAAUAUGGCCUGUUUUUCCCAUAGUGCUCCCUACUGGCAUUUAUAUAUUAUCCCCAAAAUACAAGUUGGGAAAGUUUCUCAUGAACCUAAUCUUUUCAUGACCCCAAGGCUUGGCAAUAUAUUCUUCUCAUUUUUAAAACAGGCUGUGGCGUGUAAAGAAUCCAGAAAAGGGGGCACAGAGGAAGGGAGGAAAGGAAUAAUUUAAACCAGAAAUCUACAUCAAGUCCGUAGUUUGAAUUGGCAGAUAUGCAUUUAGUUGAACAAGAUGUCCCUGGAUUCUGUUAUUUUUGUUGCAGCAGAUGGGGGGGGGGAAAUGGACUUCUCCUCUCAUCGCCUCUCAUUUCCCCCCUUUCUUCAUAUGCACCUGGCCUGCAUAUUUACUAUUAAGAAAACAUGCCUGGUGUAGAUGCUUCCUGUCAAAAGCUACCUUACAGGCAGAUUGCGUUUGAGUCAAGUGUGAUAAAAGAGGAAUUAGAUAAAUAUAUAGUUCUUCAAAGCUUUCUCUUGAAAGCAAGUUUAAAUUUAUUGUAAGGGUGGGGAUCCUUAGCAUAUCUGUGAAGAACUCUUCUAGUCAAAUCUGAGGACAAGACAGUCUCUUGGAGCACGUGGUUCACAGCACGGGAAUUUUCAGGCAUGUCACACCUUGUGUUUAUUCCUCAAAAGGGGGAAAGCGAGAUGCACUAAGAUCCUCUCUCUUAGGUCCUGCUGAAAGUAAUACUGUAGCAGCAUGGGAGUUUCCACAUGUGUCUUUAUUCCCAGAACACACUGAAACCUUGAAACCUGUGGCUCUGAACCACCAUAGCAAUGCCUUCCAGAUCAGGUAGCUAUCUUGGGAGUGCUUCGGAACCAGACAAGCUGCCCAAACUACAUGUGGACGUGUCCAUAGUAAUGUAAUGUGAGCACUGCUGUGUAAUUUCUGCCAUUACUCGAGCUGUGUCUCUGGGUGAAAGAGAAGGAGAAGGGAGACAGCUUUGCUCUCCUGGGCUUCUAAAGCCCUUUUUUCGGGGGCUGUUCCUGGACAGGAGAGGAUGACCCUCUUCUUACCUUCAAAAAUGGUUUGUCCCAGGUUUUCCUCUCGGACAUUCUACGUCAGCUCAGUCCAGCAGCCAAGGCUACUAGUGAAGCCUGCAAUAAAAAUCAGAGCAUAUAUUGCAGCCUCCCCAGGUGCUUAGAAAGGUGAGGUAAUUUUAAUCUGUUUUAGUAUUUUAACUUUCGUAUGUUUUAAAGUAGGGUUGUAAUUCCCCCCACCCAGAUUUUAUUGUUUUAUCUUUUUUGUAAACCACUUUGAGGAUUUUUACAUUCAGUGUAUAUAUUUGAUGAACUAAUAAGAUGACCCUGGAUGAUGGUGGAGGUGGUGGUGAUGAUGGUGAUGAUGAUGUGUGUGUGUGAGAGAGAGAUGUUUCAAUUUUUCCAAAUACAGUACAGUCUACAUGGUACUGCACAAACUGUAAGAGCACAACAGCAACAAAACAAGUGAAGGGGUUGCUAAAAAGGGAGGGAUAAACAAAAUAAAAACCUAAUAAAUCACGUCCACGAGCUUUAACAUUACUUUGAUUCACUGUAUACGCAGUGAGUAGAUACCAAGUGCUUAUAAACUAGUCUUUCACACCUUUUUUAUUCUGCUCACAUCAGUUAAUUUUUCUCCCAGGGCUAUUUCCCAGACAUUGGACCACCCAUGCACCAUUUAUAAUUUUUGUAAACCUCUUGAUGCCACCCUUUAUUCUAGGAGAGGGGACCCUCCAGGUGAUGUUGGACGGCAGUUUCCAUCAGCCAGCAUAAUGGGAGUUGUACUCCAACAACAACUAGAGGGUCCACCACCUCUCAGCUUCAGGGUUUGUCCUAAACUAAAAAAAAUUUAGGCAUGGGGAAGAUGCUCCCCAGUCAGUAAAUGUACAGCCCCUUUAUAUUCAUAUUCUCCCCCCCCCCACGUAUGAGCUUCUACGGCAUGGCUUCUCCCCACAUUGCGAAGUUAAGAUCAGAAAACUCGGAACCACAUAUAAAAUCAGGCUGCAGCUCAUGGUAGGGCACCUGCUUCCUGUGUUCCAAUCCCUCAUAUCUGCAGUUUCAAAAAAGGGUGACAAGUGAUUUGAAAGACCACUGCUGCUCAGGGUAGAAAAUCUAGACUACAUGGACAAAUUAUCUGACCCUGUUAUAAAGUAGCUUACCAUGAUACCUACACAUUGAAGUUACUUACAUUGAAUGUUACCCCUUUUUGCUGUUUUAAGCUCUUUAGUUUUGCUCAAGAUCUUAAUAUCCUGAAUAAUUUGGUGUUGUGUUCAAACUUGGCUGUCUUACAAUUAUUCUGUCUCUAGCCUGGAACAAGUAUGAUCCUUUGCCCUCUUCCCUCCAUUGUGAAAACCCAUUUAUUGCAGGUGGUUUCAGCUUUAAAAAGCAUAGUAAUUCCAAACACAGUGUAACAGCAGUUUUCAUUACUGGAGAGAAUGAUUAGUUAAGCUCCCAUAUUUACUAAAUCUGUAAAACCAUCUUGUUCUCGUUUGCCCUUCAACAGUCCUCUGAAUAAGUCACAUCUCCUCCAUUCCUGAUCUCACUUCCUAUCCCCUUGUGCGCUUAGACUGCGUACCAGUUCCAUGGAAUCAAUUCAAAUUCAUCACUCAGUUUAAAUUCCCACAUGCCUUAAUAAGCCCUUAAAUGAAGAAUUAAGAUAAUAAUACAUCAUUUCUGCUGCUCUACCAAUAACUUUAACUAUCAAAGUGACAGUGCAUCAAUCAAAUUGACAUACUGUUAGUAUCAACCAUUAAAAUAACUGUUAAAUUAGUGUCUGACAUGAGGUGCCACUUCCAUUAAGGGAAAUUUUAUAUCUUUCUUACCCCUCCCUACCUCCAUUUUAUUUUUCCUCUUGGCCCCCCCUCCAUCUGUAUUCCCCUCCCCUUUCUUUUUCAUACUUUAAAGUGAGAAACCCUUAAGGUGGCUGUGGAAUUAAGAGAGUUUCCCAUUCUCACCUAGCUUCUUUCCCCUACUGCUUGAAGGGGGAUGGGGAUAGGGGGUGGGAUGUAGGCUGGACUUGCCUCAAAGUGAAAAAGUGAAUGGCAGAGGCUGGGUACAGCAGCAGAUCCAGAAUCUGCUGACUGGACCUCGGAGCUGUUGGUUCAGCCUGAUGCUGCAGAAGGCAAAUAGCAGGCCAGGGCACUAGACAGCCUUUCAGCAACUGAUUAAUGGUUUUCCCCAAGCAAUUUUUUCCCCAAGGACAAAACUGCUGAUUCAAAUCUUACAGUAAAGAGAUUGGUAUUCCUUCCUUCCUUCCUAACCUGUUUUCGCCUGCGAUUCUGCCUCUUCAAAGAAGAGGCUCCCAUCUAUGCAUGCUUGUAGAGCAAGGGUAGGGAACCUUUUUCCCUCCUGAAAGCCACAUUCCCUUCUGAGCAGUGAGCAGUGUUCCAAGGAGCAUAUGCAGAAGUGGGCAGAGCCCAUCUCUGGGAAGCUCAAGCUCCUCCCAGUGCCCAUUUGCAUAGCUGGCACUUGGUUUUAAUACAUUGUUCAGAACAGAGCCAGCCACAAUAAUGAUGGCGCCACAUAUAAAGUGGAGCCUGUGGGGGUGAAGGGAGUGCAAGGAAGAUCAUUGCUAUCCUUUCUAGCUACAGGCACUUCUAAACAUUGUCAAAAUACUUUUAAAAGCCGCUUCUCUUCAUUCAUAGGUUUCCGAAAGGGGUGGAAGAACUGAGACAAAUAAAUAAAUAAAUAAAUAAACAAAUAAAUAAAUAAAUAAAUAAGUACCAUGGUUAUGUGAUUCUGGCUAUAGGCGCCAGUAGUCCUUAACUUCUUGGUAAUCUGAAACCAAAUGAGGUGAAAAUGUAUUGGAACUCUCACACAUGCUAGAUCUUGAAACUAUAAGGAUUGUUUUAUUAGGGUGCAAGAACUGUUUGCGACAAGAACUGUUUUUUGGGGUAGAAACCACCGCCUGUUACUCAGACAUACCGUACUCUACUUCUUGUGGCCUCUGUCCCAGAGGAAGCUACAACAAAGACAUGACAUAUGUAUCUUUAACUUCCCUAAAAAAUGAAUAGUGUGCAUUCCUUCUUACCUCAAGUAGCUAUUGUCAUCAUUGCAGGGUACUAUAAAAGCGGGGGAAUUGCCUCUUUGGUUGGCAAUCACUUUAAGAUAGUUCCUGGGGAACAAUAAGUAUCACCUGAGAGGAUCUAAUAAAAGUUUUUUUAACACCACCUCCACUUAUUUUCUUGGAAAAAGCCAAUGUGACAAUGAGGUAACAGAUAACUUAGUGAGAGUCUGGGCAUCUCAUUAUCAUGUGCAUCUGCGAGCUAAGUUGCCAAUGCAGUUUUAACAUUUGGCAAUGGAGGCAGAGGAGAUUUAGUCCAAGCACUACUGACUAGUGCAGUAUUCCACACAGUGCCCAAGAGCAAAGGGUGUUGUGAGGGACAGGGGAUAUCGCGAAGUCCCUCCCCUCCUGAGUUCAAGCCCAUCCCCGAGUGCAGGGGAAAGCAGGGAGAGUUCCGAUUCCAGUGGGGAAGCAGGAAGUCGUGUCCGAGGCUCAGACAAGGUAGCGGAGCCAGGGUCCCAGGUGGGACAGGAAGGGGCAAGCAAGGGGGGCAGACCCAUCCCCCCAACUCCGGAAUUGCGCAGAAAGCGGAGAGGGAAGAGGAUGGGUCUCCCCAAGUUGUUAUGUUGGAGAAAAACGCGCCAAACACCAUUCGGAGGUUCUGAUUCAAGCUGAGAAGAUGUGUUCUUGUAAAUAGCAUUGCCUUCAGCACUGUAAAUACGCAGCACCAAUAAAAGAUAAAAUGCAGAGCUGUGUAGAGUCGUUACUCUGAAGUAGCCCGCUCCGGCCACUGUGACAGGUGUCAUCAAGAUAGCUUCCCUUUCAUGUGUCAUGAGGUGUCCACUUCAUUGCAGCUACUGCUGUCAUAUCAAACACUUUCUCCACCAUACAGGUUGUACAUGCAUAUGAUGUGAUGUGCAAAAAAAAAGGGGGGGUCUCGGGUUCUCUUGGUGUCACCUCCAGUUAGAAUAGCCUCAAAGUAACUUCCUUGAGGGAAUAAAGGAAAUGUGGCCCUCCAGACCCCUCUAUCUGUUCCUUGGGACUCUGCUCUAGCCAUACACACCCAGAUCUCACCCUGCCCUGCUCCACACUCUCCUCAAGUGCUUUGUAGGGUGGGGUACUUGCAACUUCUGGUGGGAAUGUUGCCUGCUGCACAGAGGUAAGAGAGACAUCCGUAGCUCAGCCACUUUUGCUCCUGGCCUCACCCACUAUUGGCAUGUGGCCCCAGAUUGUCCAUGAAGGAAUGGGUUUGGGAAAGGGUCCUCACCACUGGGGUCAAGAAAGUAGAUAGAUGCCAGUCAGCUGGCUCACACACAUGCCCCCUUAUGAGACUUUUGGAGUGUGCAACAUAGGAGAAGCAAAUCUAAGGAAUACUAGAAUGGUGUGGGUAAGAGUGAGCAUGGCAGGGGGAGAGAAUGGGCAUGUGUGGUGUGUAUGAAUGAAAGGUGACUUCGUCUCCCUGCACCACAACUGCUUUCUCUGUGAUAAAUAUAGGGUUGAUAUUUAUAGAUUUAAAAAUAUACUGCCAGGAAAUAGUACAGCUCACUGAAGUGAAAGGACAUAUUUAUCUUCCUUCUGCAAAUCAAAACUACACAUGAAGGCAAUUUGUAUUUGUUUAGAAAUAUGUCAGUUUUGAGGGAAAGGCUGUAUGUCUUAGUGAGUAGAUUUUCUUUAUCAUGGUUAGCUGAAGGACGAUUGUUAAAACUUAUAUAAUUAUAGCUACAGAGGAGCUGAUUUGUAGUGUAAGCUAAAGUGGCAUAGUCCCUAAAACCAUGUAUUCCAGAGAGAUCCCACAGACAUCAAGCAGGAUUAUACCCUGCUCGCUUUGAAAUUACUCCUGUGCCACCAAUUUUAGUGGGACUAAAAUAGCUUAAGUGAUUCAAAUGGAAGCCUAAUAGACUCUGUGCAGUGCAAAGACAUUUCAGUUAAUGUGGCAGAAAUUAUGCAUAUAAUUUGUUGCAUACAGGCAGCCCCAGUGCAGAAGUGUCCACGUAAGCUCAUUGAUUUCAGUCUAUACGGCCACAAUCUCUCAUGUUUUAGUCUUUAUGUUGUAUGAAUAAAGCCGUGUUUCUAAAAGAGUCCAAUUCUAUUGUCAUUAGCCAGACAUAGUGCAGAAGAAAUGCCUCAUAUAGGUUUGGGGUAGAGACAGAUCUGUUGGGAGAACUGAGAACUGAUUCUGAGAAAGUUAUCAGCCAAGUUGAAUGUGCCAUGUUCAGAAUUGCCUAAAUUGGACCAGUAGGCAUCCAAGCAAACCUUAGUUGUCAUUAGUGAUUCCCUAGCUCUCUUCCCUCACUAAAACUCAGUCUAAGUAUGCGGAAAUGAACUGAAUGCAUGCAUACUCUUACCCUGGUCACCUAUACCUCCUUCUGUUUCCUGUCUAUUGCCUCUCCAGUUUCAAAUUUUGGUAUGUUGGCAUCUUACCGUAGAUACCUCUUUUUGAUAGUCACUCUGUUAAGUACCAUGCCCCUGGUGGUACUAGAUUCAGGCAGGUAGCCAUGUUGGUCUGACGCAGUUGAAUUUUUUUUAAAAAAAUUGUCCUGUAGCACCUUAGAGACUAAGUUUGUUCUGGGUGUGUUUUGUGUGCAUACACACUUCUUCAGAAAGCUUAUACCCAGAACAAACCUGGUGGUACUGUUAAACAUGGAUAGGUUCAACAGGUAUGAAAUGAUCUGGUAUACCUUUCUUGAGUUUAAAUUUACUUCUGUGGACAAGAACUACUGAAGAUGAGCAGAUGUUGCAUCUUCCAUGAAGUAGUAUUUAAACUCUGAGCUUCAGAUAAUGGCUAAUUCACAAGGCCUCUCUUUCGCAUCUAUGAUGGCCUUUUCUUUCACAAGGCCUCUCUUUCGCAUCUAUGAUGGCCUUUUCUUGGGGAACAUGAGCAUUCUGCUCUGCAGUUGAGGACCAGUAGGGACCAGUAGGGAAGUCACUAUGGUCUAAACCACUGAGCCUCUUGGGCCUGCCGAUCAGAAGGUUGGCGGUUCGAAUCCCCGCAAUGGGGUGAGCUCCUGUUGUUCGGUCCGAGCUCCUGCCAACAUAGCAGUUCGAAAGCAUGUCAAGUACAAGUAGAUAAGUAGGCGGGAAGGUAAAUGGCAUUUCCGUGCACUGCUCUGGUUUUGCCAGAAGCGGCUUAGUCAUGCUGGCCACAUGACCCGGAAGCUGUACGCCGGCUCCCUCGGCCAGUAAAGCGAGAUGAGCGCCGCGACCCCAGAGUCAUUCGCGACUGGACUUAGCUGUCAGGAGUCCUUUACCUUUACCUUUACCUUUUUAUGUCACCAGUGCAAGCAUUUUCAGCCAUGCAGUGAACCGGGACAUGUCUUUAUGGCUUCACCACCGCAUACAUUUUCCUAUCUUGGUGCUAGGACAAAAGCACUACAUGUGAAUAAAAAAAAGCUGUGUUUUCUUUCUUUCUUUCAAAAUUAAAUGGCCAGUUGAACUGUAAACAAUGUUGGUAUAUCCAUUACCUUGUCACUGACAAGAGACUCCUGUUAGCUUUAUGGUGCAAAAUAAAGGCUGCUUAGUAUGGAUAAAAUAGGACCAAUUAUAAUUUAACCUUUAAGAUAAUUGCUGGCAGAAGUAGUCUGUCUAAUAUGUUUGUAUCCCGAUUAAUGUGUAUUCACCUGUACUGUCUCGGCAAUCUUAAUAUGUAUGUCGCAGUGUGUCAGCUGCUGUGAAGGAACUUUUUAGAGACCCAAUUGCGGGGAUGUGGAAUCAGUCCAUUUAAAAGGUGUGCUUACCCUAUGCAGUGAAAAUUAAAAAGCGUAAAUGUUAUGCCAAUUAUAGUUUUUUUAAUCUUCUAUUUGAGAGUGGUAUUUUUCUAGGUAUUCCUUUUGAUAUUCAAAACUUUCCAUUGUGAGUUAUGUUGUGUGUCCCCCCCCCAAAAAAAGUAGCAUCAGUGUAAAUAUCUAUUUUGUGAUUUUGAAGCUGUGUGCAUCAAACAUUUGUAAAGACUAUGGUCCACCUUGCCAAGUGGGAGUGAUAAUGGCUUCAUUAUCCUCCUACAAACCAUUUGUAUUAAGUAUACAGUUACUGCAGUGUUUGCUGUGCUACCUAUAGAUUUGCGUUGGUGUUGUUUGCAAAACUCUUAGUAACUUAAUGUGUGGGAUUAGAAAAAGUGAAGGCCAGCCCCAAAGAUCUUUGGGAGAACCAGUGAGUUCCUGGGUGGACAAAGGGUUCCUGUUUGAUUCAGUAUAAAAAACAAGUACAUUUGUACAUUCCUAUGGCAUCCCCGGUAUUACUAGGAAUGAAGGAAUAUUUAUUUAUUUAGGUGCCUCCCGCGUGAGAAGAUAUCUGCAAUCAUUUCUUCUUCCAAAUACUGAAAUUUCUUUAAAUUGCCUGUUACAAGGUUUCAUCAUCAGACUGGCUAUUCUUGUGAUCUGUUAGAAAACAGAAGAUGGUACCAAUCUUACGUUAAAAAGUUGGCGAAGCUUGGUUUUGGGGGGCAUUUUUGAGACCCACAUUCCUACUUUUGUAUCUCUAAUAAGCCUUUAAAGGCAGUCUUACCUCUUAGCUCUGUUUGGAGUUUCAUCUUCAAAUAGCAAUAGUAUUAAAUGGUACAAGUUCCUGUGUCUUUCCUUGCUGAUAGUGGUGAAACAGAAGGAUGGGGUGGGGAAUGCAGAUCAAAUGAUGGGUAGGGAAACGUUGAAGCAGCCCUUUCGCUCCCACUGAUCACCAAAUCCUCAAGAUUCCACCCUCCUUAAAGUACUGUCGCUGAAGGGGGGGGAUCUAUCAUGAAAAAGACUCAUGCAAGUGCGCUUAUCAUGUAGUUUGCCCCUCAUACAAGUCUGCAAUUAAAGUAGUUCGGGGGGGGGGAGAGAGAGAGACUCAAAAGACCCCCUCUGUCUGUCUGUGAUUGUGAGUAAAAGAGUUUCAUGGACUGUCUUAAGCUGUAUCGUUGACUUCCAGCUGUACAAUUCUGUGAUUCUGUGACUUCUGUCAUAAAUAGUGUAUUAAUAGGAGUGUGUCUGUUUUCUCCCC